rnacentral:rRNA from 1 species
GACGAACGCUGGCGGCGUGCCUAAUACAUGCAAGUGGGACGCAAGGGAACACACUGUGCUUGCACACCGUGUUUUCUUGAGUCGCGAACGGGUGAGUAACGCGUAGGUAACCUGCCUAUUAGCGGGGGAUAACUAUUGGAAACGAUAGCUAAUACCCGCAUAAUAUUAAUUAUUGCAUGAUAAUUGAUUGAAAGAUGCAAGCGCAUCACUAGUAGAUGGACCUGCGUUGUAUUAGCUAGUUGGUAAGGUAAGAGCUUACCAAGGCGACGAUACAUAGCCGACCUGAGAGGGUGAUCUGCCACACUGGGACUGAGACACGGCCCAGAAUUCUACGGGAGGCAGCAGUAGGGAAUCUUCGGCAAUGGACGAAAGUCUGACCGAGCAACGCCGCGUGAGUGAAGAAGGUUUUCGGAUCGUAAAGCUCUGUUGUAAGUCAAGAACGUGUGUGAGAGUGGAAAGUUACACAAGAGACGUAGCUACCAGAAAG